UUGUAAAGUGUUUAUGAGCGGCUUAUUGAAGCAUCUUUCAACUCUGACAGAGAUAUUAUCAGGUAUGUUACCAAGAGCCUGAAAUGUCUGGAUUGCUUUAAGCGUUUGGAUUCUGCAUCGUCAAAAAAACCUGAAUUUAAAGCUUAAACAGCUCAUCCGUAUAGUUUGGAUGAGGGUUCAACUUCCGAGAGGCUUUGAAGCACUUAUGCAAGUUCUCCGCGGUGCAGUCUGGAAAGGCAAACAUCCAGUUCUGCAGGUUUUGCGCGCCUGGUAGUUCACUUUCCAGUCCUAUACCGUCUGUUUGCUUUUGUUGCUUGCAUGCAACGGUGCACAUUGAGUUCCGUAGACUACUAUGGAUGCAUGGAAUAAAGAAAUGUGAUUUAAGUGUCUAUAAAUGCAACUUUUCCUCCAGAUUUUGAUGCGCAUUGGCUUGCUUAAAAAGGCUUUUUUUAGGAGUUAGAGUAGCAUCAUAUGUCAAGAUGUCGACCCAGAGUUUUGGUCUGUAUGUUGAUGGUUUUCAGUUCAUCCUCUAGCCUGUCAAAGCUUCAGUUUGUUUCUGUCUGAAUAACAGUUUCCACGUCGUCCGCUCCUCUCCCCCACAGCAGCGCUGAAUGGGUCGCUCCAGUCUGCCCGGGCUGUCCAAUGACAGAAAGGCUCAGGCAUGGGAGCCCCCUAUUGGCUCCCCGCAUGAUCGAUCCGGGGUUGAUUGAUCGGUUGUAGGCCACAUUUGCAGGGAGGCGCAAAACAAAACAUCGUCCACCAGUCGAAAACACACACAUUGCGUUUUCUGUCAGCUUCUAAAGGUUGUAAAUUUACUAAAACACACUAUCUCAUAACUACCCCCUUUCUCUUUUUGUCUCACCCCUCUCUCCCCCUUUCUUAUGCACACGCUCCGAUCUUUAGGACUUUAAUUACUUGUUUCUAAAUGCACUCACACUGACUUCAGCAAACCCAAACAAGCUGCACUAUCGUCAGUUUUCUUCCCUCAGAAGAGUUCACACUUCAACUUUUCUCUCUACAAUAAGCCGUUCACUCGAGUCCCAGAAACUAUAAAAGUUUGGUCAAAUAUUGAUGAGCUUGAAUUUAUGGAGCAGAAAAGUUAGAUUCUCCAGUCAUUCGGAGUUAGGUGCCGGUAUCAGUGAGUUAUGCGAGGAUGUAAAUUAACAAAAUAGCCUGAAUUUACUGCGUUGUCUGGUUUGAGUCCUCGCCUGGAUAUGAAGCGGUGCAAAUCUUAUUUCAUUAAGUCUAUGAAACAUUUUUAAUUAAGAAGUUGGACUUCCUAAAAUUUGCAUGGAAUAUUUAUGAUAGGUUCCCUUGCAUGAGAAGUUUCGUAAAAGAAAAGAAAAGUUUUUUUUUUUUCUGUGGGAUUAAAUUUGAGUGAAGACGCAAACAUGAAUUUUCUCAUCACUUCUACUAGGUGUUUGUUUGUUUUUGUCUGUUUUCACGUGUUGAUCAGGUUCACUAAACUCUUUAUUUAUUAUUCUCAGCCCCUCGCAAGUAAACUGGGACCGUGCGAAAGAGCCACAUUAUCUCUUUAUUAUGCUCACAAGGUGUUGCUGCUCUGUGACAGCUUGCUUGAAGUUUUUUUUCCCCGUGCAGCGCGUCCAGUCAUCGAUCAUCUGCCCCCGGUGCCAGAAAUGGUGUCAUAACAUGAUAAUGCGGCUUCACACAUUCGGUAGUGAUUCCUGUGGUAAAACCCAAGCGAUGAGAUCCGAAGGGACAAAUUUCAGAGGCAUGAGAAGAUUCUCAGAGCCUCCCUGCAGUCCGGCCAGGGAGGCUCCGGGGUGAGGACAGCAAAGGAGACUGGAAGCAGCGCAGGACGCACGGACCUAUACGCACAGAGACUCCGAAUCAAAUAAUAAGGUCGGCUGACUUGUGCUCGUCGAGGUUGUUAAUUAUUUACUGGUGAGUAAAGCUCUCCCACUCAAUUUCUGUUUUUUUUUAAUUAUUUUUUAACUGCAUUUUAAAUUAUUCAAAAUCCUAUUAUUGUCUCUGAUAUAUUCUCUCACUAGACACUUCUUUUAGAAUAAAGUAAAAAGCUGCUAUUUUAAAUCCACUUCCUGCGAAAAUUUGUGGGUUUAGUCAAACGCAAACAGGAUUAAACGACUCAUCCAACCACAAGGCACACUACAUUUUAGAGGGUCAUUGAGAAAAAAAAUCUCAAGCUAAAUUAACAUGAAAGGAGCCCACAUCAGCGCCUGACCACUGUAAAAUAACUACAAUGGCAUUAUAAAGCAAUUAAGCUCCUUCAAUUAGCGUCCAUAAAAGCAGCGCGGAGCUGCACUUUCUCUCCCGGAGUCGCUCUCUCGUGAGGGUCAGCGCGUUUUGGCAUCCCGUGAGAGAGCAGGGGGGCAAAUACCGUCAUUUCGGUUUAAUCCUCUUUACGUUGACGGUAAUGCUUGGAGUCAUUUCAAUAAAAUCAGCAAGUAUUAGUUUCAAACGGCUGGAUGGAAAAAAAGACAGACGGUUUGACCGAAGAAUCAAAUAGAGGCAUUAUUGGAUGGCCUUUGUGCGCGUGACUUUUGCUGUUUGGAGACAAAGAAGUUGCGGUUUUUAUGUUAGUUUAGAAAAUCUUCAAGAAACUUACUUCUUAUCACUAAUAUUAUUUACAGAGUAACAUCGAAACAUUUUAAAAGUCACCUUUAGUGUUUUUUGGCUUGAGGGAUGUUCAAAUAAAUGAUGCACAUUUGAAUAUGAAUUUUUACGCGCCUAAGUUUGGUUGGAAAUAAUCAAUUCUAGGUCAGAGAAUCAGAGUUUUCGCCUCUGCAUUUGUCUUUAUCUCUGCCUGUCUGUUGCUGUUUGAAGAAACAUGGAGCAACUGGCAGCCCCAGGAGUCAAACUGAGGUCAAACUUUUUGCAGCCCCACAGCUCUGCGCGAAAACGUGUUGGGAUCUGCAGAGGCCACUGAGCCCCAGUCUCUCUGCUUUGUGUCAGUGCUGCAGCGCUCAGCCAGACAGAUACAGACCUGCUGCAGAGUUUUCACAGAUUAUCUAAUUAUAAGGUACCACAACUAUAUUACCGUCUGUCAGAAGAAUCCGUCGGAUUCAAUAGGAGCUAUACGAGAUUUAGUCAGAAAGUAUUCGGUCAGUAAAAAAGGCGCCUUGGCUCGG